UCCUAAUUAACAUAUUUAAUCUAAAACACCCCAGCAACUUAGCUUGAGGGGGAGAAAGAAGGAGGAGAAAUGUGCUAUCCUUGAGAAUGCUCUUCCUCUGCUUAUCUUGAAGGCACAGCUAUACACCUCUGGAAGGUUGCCCUAACCUACACCUCUAGCCCUCUGCAGCAGUGAGAAGAGUGUCUUGCUGUACUCUUAUCCAUUUCAGCCACAGGUCCUUCCCUUUUACACUGUGCUUUGUUGCUUUCUUUUCAGCCAUUUAAGACCAAGUGCUAUUGUCCUCUGCUGCUGCUGCCGCUGCUGCUGGAGCACGGCAAGACUUUGAAACAGUCUCCAUGACAAUCAGAGAGAUGCAGUCUGGAUCCUAAUGGGGGUGACACAUGGCUGUGACUGUAUCCUGCAGAGCAAGGUUCUUUGUAUCACAUUUGAGCCAAGAAGCAUCUGAGCGAAAAGGUAUCCUGAAUACUGAAAUACUGGAUAUUUGUGUGUGUUUUUAAUGGACCAUGUGCAAACAGCCAUACAAAGUUAGUGAAGGAGGUAGCGGUUAUCCUACAGAAGGAAAUGUAGAACAAGAUGUGCAGAUUUGGAGACGAUGUGGAACUGACAACCUGAGAAAUGCCAUCCAUAAAGGAAGGACUUGGGAACACAGAGGGCCUGCAAACUCCUGGGGAUACUGACGCUGAAAAAGAGAAUGGAAGCAGUCAGGUCAGCUGCCUGCUGAGGAUGCUAGGAAGAAUGUGAAUGAAGCUUGAAGAAAACAAAUACGAAGAAAGUGAAUGAAGCUCAAAGCAAGACAGGUAUUAAUGACCAAGCUGUGGUAAGGCAAAAGGAGAGCACCGGUCUCAAUAGAAAGAGGAGGCAGGGAAUCUUCUGUAAGGCUUUUAAAAAUAAAAUAUUGAUUAUUUUUAAUUAAAAUGUUAUAAAAUAUUUAAAGUAAAAUAUCAUAAAAUAUUGCUCAUUUGGAUGAUGCCCAGCCACCCUCACAAAUGAACGCUCUCCAUUGACACACACUUCUGUGCCUCCUACUCAGCUUUCCUCAGGAGGGUCAUGGCAAAAUGAGGCUGAGCAAUAGGAAAGCUAUCAUUUUCUAAGCUGAGAAGAGCAGUGCCAGGAUCAAUACAGUAUGAAACAAGCCUAACCACAGUCUCUAAAGCCUUCAUUGCAGCUUUUCUUUGUGGUUUUGGAACAUCUCUGAAAGAGAAGAAACAAUUUCCUUCUUAUUGCAAGCAAUGCCCAUCAAAGUUAUUUUAAUGUAGAGAAACAAAAGUGUUUCAAAAGUCUUCAAAGGGGUUCUGAGGGGAAAAUGAUGUGAACCCUCAUUGUAAAUAAGGGUACAAGUAAGGGAAUUGUAGCUUUUAUCAAUGUAGAUUUGAGGUCCUCUCAGUGUUCCAUGGGCAAAAAUCCUGGCAAACAUUGUGUUUAGUACAACAGCACAAAUGGCUCUUUUCCAUCCACAGAAGUUUGUGUUUGACAUGUCAUGUUUUAUGUCAGUUCUGUUUGGGUUUAUCCCACUUGCUGUCCUCAGAAAUCUCUCCCAACAUCCUGCUCCCCAGUAAUGUGACUAACAAAUCAGAGAUGCACCAUACUUUCUGCUCAAUUAAGGACAGAAAAACAACCCUCACACAAGCAGUAUCUAGGCUAUUGCUGAAAAUGGUGCUGAGCGUUUCAGAUAGAUGUUCAGAAAAGACUAAAAGGCAGCUACAGAAGAGAAUCUUCAUAAAUUUCCUCCCAGUCUUUCUUACUCAGUGACACAUGAUCAUUUAUUCAAUCUUUUUUAAGAGGAAAACUGCAGCAUUCUAUGUUUUUCUGCUUCCACAGAAAUGUGAGCAUUUUUUGGACUUUUUGUCACAAAAUGAACUCUUUCAGCAGUAAGAAAUCUUGCAACACUAAGUGACAUGCUUUGUGCCCAUCCUGUUCUUUCUUCCCCAUAACUUUUCUUGGGUUUUCCCUGUGAUUAUUCCUGUCACCAGCUAACUGUUCUUCAACUCUGAAAUGGUAAAUAACAAAAUGGAGAUAUGAAAUAAGGAUGAUGCUGCUCCAGAGACAUGGCCAAACAGAGAUAAGUGGGGCAAUGAAACCUAACAUGGCAGGGCAGCUAGAUUGGAUGAAAGAUAUUUACAGCUUUUUAACUUCUUCAGGUUUGCAGUAGCCUACCAUUUUAAGCUGAAAGCAUUGUCUUUAUGCUCCAUAUGUACAUUGCAGAUGUUGCAGUCCAGGGGCUGCUCUUCUGCCACUGACCCUUUCUGUGGCCUUAGCUAAAUCACUUUACCUUGUUGUUACCUUUAAUCAAAUUGUGGUCUCGUAAAGUAUGAUCCCUCUUUAAUGCCUCAGUAUCAUGACAUUGACUCGGUAGGGACUUCUAACAUUGCAACACAAUUACUGAUAAUAAAACAUAACUAGCUGAGAAGAAUCAAACCAUUUUCUUAUAGCCUUUACUUAGAAGAUUUUUAAUUUCAUGAAGGUCUGAGAGAUUUCCAUGUUUUGGGGUGAAAUAGAAAUGUAUUGGUAAUGCACUGGAAUAUCUUUAAGAAAAAUGUAUACCUACAAUAUCCCUUUAUUAUCUCUUCAUGUUCCUGCAGUCUGCCAGCCUUACACAAAUCUAGUCCUAUAUAAUUUUUUUUUCCUACAAAACAAGCUAUUAAAAGAUGUCUUUGCUGCUCCUCUGCACUAAUAAUUAGUUUGCACACAAAGAUUACUUACAGACUGUUCUUUUUCUUAGCUGAUUUAGUUUGUUAAAUGCAUCUAAUUGAUUAUAUAAGAAAAAGAGACCAAUGUACCUUUGCAGAUGCCUUUGACUUGUUUUACAGAGUGAUACUGUGCUGUGCUCUACAAAGUUCUACAAUCUAUACAUCUGCUUCUCAUUAUUAUUAUAACUUUUGUUUAGUAUAUUAUCUUUCCAAAGCUAUUGUUUGAUUUGCCUUUCAGCAAGGGAGACUUCACCUUUCUGAAGUUUCUUUUUCAUUUUUUUACUAGGUUUCUGUUCUAAUGCAACCCAUUAUUUUCAAAGGCUUUCAACAACAGAAGAAUAUCAUUGUGCUCAGAGCAGAUGUCUGAACUGAUCAGGAAAAUUAUUGUUGGGGUUGUGUUUGCCCAUUUUCAGAGACUUUGGUGGCACGGAUUUAUAGUAUAAGAAAAUCUCCAAGCUCACCUAUGCCUCAGGCACUCAGCAUUCACUAAGGCACUGAACCUUUUCUCCAGGUUCAUCUGCUCAUGUUCUCCUGUCUUUCAUACAAAUGCAUUGUAACACAUCUCUACUAAGAAGAGAAUACAAUAAGACAAGCUGGAGCCAGUAGUCAGAGUGAUGAGAUUAUUCUGAACUGCCUUUAAAGUUUCUUGUGUUAAUGACUGGCAAAUAGUUAGGACCUCUUAAAAGCCUGGCUCCAAUACAGUGUAAUGGCAGCUGUGUAACAUAAUUUCCCAAAUAAGCUCUUACAAUAGAGGACUCAGAUAUACAGAGUUCACCUAUCUUUGCUUCUGAAAGCCCAAAGAACGUCCCAGUCGUGCAAGCUUGCAGUCCCUGGUUAAUUAUAAUCUCUGUUUAUAUAGCAGCCCUAUCUCAAAACUCUUUUCAAACAUUAAGACUCCUAGCACUUCUUUUGUGUAGGCAUUAUUAUCCCUGUCAUUAUCAUUAUCUCAUCUUCCAUUUUAUAGGUGGUAAAUGAGCAAAAUCACACUGUGAGUCAGUAGCUGAAUUGGGAAUAGAAUAUUGUAGUCCUGACUUUGUCCCUUGCUUUAAUUACUCACUAACAUGAUUGUAAUUUGUGGGUUGAAGUGAUUUUGUUCAGUGUAAGAUCUCAGCAAAGAUUUUUGUUUGUAUGGCUUUCAUGCUGAUAUUUUUCAGCUGUUGGUCUCGGUUUAAGUAGAUAAUAAGAGAUGCUGUCAUCUUCCAAUUAAAUACCUAUCAAUAAAUUUUAAUAUUAUACAAUUUGAAUAAUAGACUGGAACAGCUCAAAUGAAGCUUAGUCUAUUGAGCAAUGAAGUAUUUAGGUAUUGAUGUUCUGUCCUAAUCUAGUCAUAGUAAAAACCAUGAUGGAAAUCUAUGGAGAAAUGUACUUUUGUAAAGUGACUGGGUUUUAAACGACAGUUGUUAUUAAUUAGUCUUUUCUUUUAAUGUGAAAAUAGCAUAUGCAAUUACUAAAUUAAGUUAAAGCCACUUGUCUAUUUUUUUUUUUUAGUCAGAACAUUUUAGUUGGUAUAAAAUACACAAAUGUGUUCAGUUGAAACUAGACAGUUAACCUUAUUUUUUUCCUUUUCCAGAACUGUUUUAAUCUGGAAAGGCAAUCUAAUCAUUGCAUUGGCUCAAACAAUAGCUUAGCUUCAAAACAUCCCACUGACAGCACCCGACUCCUUUGUUUCUCUGUCAUCAAAUGUCGUAAGAAAGAGAAUAAAAAAUUAAAUAUUUUUACGAGUGGUUACUCAGAAGACCACAAGGUGCAGUCCUGAGAGAAACUGAAGAUGCUCUGAGAAGUGAAAGCAUGGUCCUCCCAUAAGAGAAGUGUAAGACCCUCAAUAUUACAACAUGAUUGUUUAGAAAUAGUGGAUUGACCUUUUUCUUCCUUGUUCAUUAUUCUUUUCCUCUUUCUCCUCCUUCUUCUUUUAAAUAACAGGAUAUCUUUGUCAUUCCUUUAACUACACUGUAAAAAUCUUAUCCUGUCAGUGGUCUGCUUGCCUACAGGUGCAAAACUUGGUUUUGGUGAAUUAUCAUAGAAAUACUUACUGCCUUAAAGGUAUAUCUUUCCAAGGGAAUAGAUCCCUCACAUAAAAGUACAAAGCCCACUUUGCUUCCUUCUACUUGUCCCAGUUAUGCAACAAAAAAUGCUUGUUGGUUUCAACAAACAAGAUCUCUUGCAAGGUGAUUUGAAUGCUGUAUUUUGUGGAUGCAGCAGUCAUGUACACAGUCUUUAUACAACUGACAAUCAUGGAGAAGAGAACCUAGGUGAGCAAUUUGUUUCACAGUUUUCUGUACUAACAGGGUUACAAUUCCCUGCAUUUGUUCUGCGCUAUGUCGGCACUUUACACUCUGAUCUUUUAUUAAUUCUUCUUUAAUGACCUGUUCAUUUGCUCAUAAACCAGAUCUCCAUGUCUCCCAAUCACUUUAUUAGACAAGUUACAGCCUUUCCCUUCCCUUCCCUUCCCUUCCCUUCCCUUCCCUUCCCUU